AUGUCUUCUGCGAUCCGGGGCAAUAAGCUUUCUCUUCUACUGCUGGCUCCCAGGGUAUACCUUUCUCCUCCUGCUCCAGCUAGGGGAGAAUUGGAAAAGAUGCAGGCAGCUGUCAGGAGAGCAAAGGAAAGGGAGAGGCUGGGUCCGGAAACUCUGCUGCUCCUGCGACAAGUGCUCCAGGUCCAGGCUGUGAUUUCCACAAUCUGCAUCCGAACCACAGAGUGAAGCCGAAAUUAGGUGAGUGAUUGGGAGUGCUCAACCUCAACAUCGGGUGAGCGGAGUUCAACCACAGUGUUAUCACGUUUUAUUGAAAUCUCGUAGUCCAAAACAGAAUACCACACCCUGUUUCUAUCUCAGUGCGGAGUGUUUCAUUUUGAUCAAAAUUACAGUUGCAUAAUUGACAGAUGAGAGUGAGUGCUUGCAGAUGUGAAGACGGGUGAAAUAACACAGGAACAACACCCGCAAGACUGGGUUAAUAACGCAAUACAAAUUCAGUCCGCUUUCAUCUCCCAAUUCAUUUUUCCUUAAGAGAUGAUAACUUGUCUUGAAUUCCAAAUUCAUUUCUGAACCAGAGAUGUAGAAAGACUGCAAAUCCCAUGUAUGAAGUUUUAGUUCAGCUGCAGGUUCUACUUUUGCAAUAUUGUGGAAUUUAACUUUGUUUCCAGGCUUAAAAAGGGCCAUUUGAAAAUUGAUCGUACCUACAAAUAUAAAUCUAUUUUAAGAUACUUUUGAAGGAUGGCAAAUUUUUAAACUGUUUUUUCCAGUUACCACAUUUGUGAGGAGCAGGAGAAGUUAGGAGAUUCUGGGAACCUUGUGCAAUUUAACAACUAGAGUUAAAACUCGGCACCUUCAGUUUUCCUAGUUUGCCAGUAGAGCUGGUGGUGAGACAAAGUAACAAGAGCCUGCAGCCUUCACAGUGGGUGAAUCCCCUGUAUGAUUCUCCUCUCUUCCGUUUCUGCUUGUUUUUGGCAUCACCAUCUCUCCGCCCUGGCUGUUUCAUCCUCUCAGGGUCCCAUUCUCUCGGGUUGCCCUGAAUCUCUGAGAAGAGAGGAAGGAAUUGGCUCUGAUUGAACCAUUUGGCAGGAAGAGCAGACUGGGCUUGUGAUCCGCUCAGGACUUCUGUGCUCAGCACAAUGGCAUGGAGAGAGAAUGGUGGGCUCAUAGGCACCAAGCUGGUGGGAGAGAGCUGUGGGCUGGGCCCUCCCUGUCCCUGCAGGACACACGCUCUGCCCCUGUUGCCCAUGUGCCAGGCUGGCCCUGGGGCUGGUGAGUUCAGAGCCUUAGCAUCAAAGCUGCUUUGAACAUUAGAAUAAGACGAUACUCUCAAAAGCCUCAUCAGAAGUUUUCAUGGGAGUCAGUGGGUUUUAGGCAAUAAGGAUCUCCCUGCGUAUUCCUUUCAUUUACUUUACUUCUGAUAAGCCAAAGGACUCUUGAGUCCCUCCAGUUUUCAAAGGCAGGCACUCAGAACAUUUCCAAGACGUGCAGCCUUAUUACCACGGUGGACAGCAGCUCCCGCCUUCAGAGCCCCAGCGAAGGAAACCCCCUCAGUAAAUCAGUCACAGC
ensembl:lncRNA